UGAGGAGACGCGUUUUACGUUCGUCGACGCGUCGUCUGCCUCGGUAGGCGCGCGUUGCGAGUACGCGUUCGUAUUCCGGCCGGCUCGCCAGACGGUAUGUCGAUGGUGGCCGUGGCGGUCGUUCGCUUCACGGCGAUCAGCGCCGUUCACGGUACCGGUUUGCGACGAAUCUUCGGGCCUCUUUCCGACCCGUCUUGAAACACGGACCAAGGAGUCUAACGUGCGCGCGAGUCGCGGGGUGUCGAGCAGCGGAGGUUCGCCUUUGUUGCUCGUUACGACGCGAAACCCGUACCGUUUAUUCGGAAGGCGCAAUGAAAGUGAAACAGGGGAAGAUGGCGUUACCGAGUUCACGUUUCGCGACUCGAUCGCGACCGGUCGCCCGCAUUCCCAGGGCGUCCCAACGGUGCGACGGCGUUGCGGAUCGUCGUUCUUUCGGGAACGGCGGUCGGGCGUCGUCGGUCCGGGGCGCACCUAUAGCGUGCACGUUGGUACCCGAAAGAUGGUGAA
rnacentral:rRNA from 1 species